GUGAGGAAUAUUGGUCAAUGGGCGCAAGCCUGAACCAGCCAUGCCGCGUGCAGGAAGACGGUCCUAUGGAUUGUAAACUGCUUUUAUUUGGGAAUAAACUCCGGUACGUGUACCGGCCUGAAGGUACCAAAUGAAUAAGCACCGGCUAACUCCGUGCCAGCAGUCGCGGUAAUACGGAGGGUGCAAGCGUUAUCCGGAAUCAUUGGGUUUAAAGGGUCCGCAGGCGGUCUUAUAAGUCAGUGGUGAAAGCCUACAGCUCAACUGUAGAACUGCCAUUGAUACUGUAGGACUUGAAUUCGAUCGAAGUGGGCGGAAUGUGACAUGUAGCGGUGAAAUGCUUAGAUAUGUCACAGAACACCGAUAGCGAAGGCAGCUCACUAGGUCUGGAUUGACGCUCAGGGACGAAAGCGUGGGGAGCAAACAGGAUUAGAUACCCUGGUAGUCC
rnacentral:rRNA from 1 species